UAUGUAUGUAUGUAUGAAUAUAUGUAUAGUGCUAGUAGGUUUGGUAAUGGUAUGAUUUGUUUCAAUAUCGUUCACGUCAACACAAAAUCAAGUAUGAUGCUCCGACAGUCUAUAUCCACGCAGUCACUAUUCGUCACUCACUACUCUCGUCAUAACGGUUCCAACGCUCUUUUUCACCCUGACCGUCCUUGACAACGCUGACAACACUUACCCCUCAACUGCCUAACAGCUACCUCUUAUACUAUGGCUCCGGUAUACUCGGCACGUCCAUGUUCCACAGACGUGGAUGACCCAUGAUCAAGUAGACCUUCUGAAUUAUCCAAGGUUUUCCCCGAUACUGUACUACACUAACGUAAUCGCUUUUCGAGAUUAUUGUAAUUAUAUAUUC